rnacentral:misc_RNA from 1 species
UAUGAAGACGCUGACCAGUAAA